CCCGCCCGCCCGCCCGCUGCCUUGCCUGCUCGCGCUUUCGCUCGCGCUCUCCUCGCGGAUUGUGGGGGCUCUGACCACAGCCUGCGGCUGGGGAGGGCGACAGAGGCGGCGGCUCAGGGGAAACGAGGCUGCAGUGGUGGUGGUGGGAAGAUGUCGGGCGAGGACGAGCAGCAGGAGCAAACUAUCGCCGAGGACCUGGUCGUGACCAAGUAUAAGAUGGGGGGCGACAUCGCCAACCGGGUACUUCGGUCUUUGGUGGAAGCAUCCAGCUCAGGUGUGUCCGUGCUGAGCCUGUGUGAGAAGGGUGAUGCCAUGAUCAUGGAAGAGACAGGGAAGAUCUUCAAGAAAGAAAAGGAGAUGAAAAAAGGUAUUGCCUUUCCUACCAGCAUUUCAGUAAAUAACUGUGUGUGUCACUUCUCGCCUUUGAAGAGUGAUCAGGACUAUAUUCUCAAGGAAGGUGACUUGGUAAAAAUUGACCUUGGGGUCCAUGUGGAUGGCUUUAUCGCAAAUGUGGCUCACACUUUCGUGGUCGGUGUAGCUCAGGGGACCCAAGUGACAGGGCGGAAAGCAGAUGUCAUUAAGGCCGCUCACCUUUGUGCUGAGGCUGCCCUGCGCCUGGUCAAACCUGGAAAUCAGAACACACAGGUGACAGAAGCUUGGAACAAGGUUGCCCACUCAUUUAACUGCACACCAAUUGAAGGUAUGCUGUCCCACCAACUGAAGCAGCAUGUCAUCGAUGGAGAGAAAACCAUUAUCCAGAAUCCCACAGACCAGCAGAAGAAGGACCAUGAAAAAGCCGAAUUCGAAGUGCAUGAAGUAUAUGCUGUGGAUGUCCUCGUCAGCUCAGGAGAGGGCAAGGCCAAGGAUGCAGGACAGAGAACCACCAUUUACAAACGAGACCCAUCUAAACAAUAUGGCCUGAAAAUGAAAACCUCGCGUGCCUUCUUCAGUGAGGUGGAGAGGCGUUUUGAUGCCAUGCCAUUUACCUUAAGAGCAUUUGAAGAUGAGAAGAAGGCUCGGAUGGGUGUGGUGGAAUGUGCCAAACACGAACUGCUGCAGCCGUUUAAUGUUCUCUAUGAGAAGGAGGGUGAAUUUGUUGCCCAGUUUAAAUUUACAGUUCUGCUCAUGCCCAACGGCCCCAUGAGGAUAACCAGCGGUCCCUUCGAGCCUGACCUCUACAAGUCGGAGCUGGAGGUCCAGGACGCAGAGCUGAAGGCCCUCCUCCAGAGUUCUGCAAGUCGGAAAACGCAGAAAAAGAAGAAAAAGAAGGCCUCCAAGACUGCAGAGAAUGCCACCAGUGGGGAGACGUUAGAAGAAAAUGAGGCUGGGGACUGAGAUUUAUUUAUCUUGUAUAUACACCAAGUAGCAAGAUUGCUGGACUUAUGGCAGUUCUAUUUUUGAAGACCCUUCAUGCCACUUUCCACAGCAGCUGUACUAACUUACCAUUCCCACCAGCAAUGUAAAAGGGUUCCUUUGUUUUCCCCCCAUAAGCCUUUUAUUUAAGGAAUACAAACUUCAUAUAUUUCAUAAUUACAACUUUAGGAACAUGGUGGUUCUUCCCACCGUACCUGCUCUGCCUCCCACACUCCUACCCCUCUUCCUCCUCCCUCUCCUAUUCCCAUUCUUAUUUUUUACUAACAUCUAUUUUCUAUUAACUUUAUACACAUAUGACUAUGUUAGGAAUUCAACAAAUAGUAUGGGAAAAAAAAACCCACAACAGUCAAGACAAGGGCUGUUCAAAGUCACUGCUUCUCAAAGUGUCAAUUUCACUUUACUAUAGAUUGUCUUUUAGGUGUUCUAUUAUCACAGGUCAGAGAGAACAUACGGUAUUUAGGACCCUAAAUUUUUAAAACCUUGUUUUAUAAUAAAGUGCAAUAUUAUUGAUAGAGAAUCCAUCAGAUCCAAGAAGGGACUGUAACAAAAAAAUCUUCACAGUGUUUAAAACAAUAACAUGAAGGCUGCGUGGUUGUUCCUUUACGCUUUAGUGACAUUUCCUGGAGCCAAAUCUUUGGGGAUGUUUGUUUUCUGGUGCUUCUCAGCUGACUGUACCAAAAGACUGGUGAGAAGUUCUUUUCCUUAACGCUAUCACGCCUCCCUGGAGAAGACGUAGCUGGUCUUUCUCCUCACUGCCCACGGUUAGAUAUGCACUGCUAGCUAGGGACAGACGGCGCGUGGUGACUGGGAAUCUCUAGUGACGUGGAGAACACCAUACUGCGGUUAUUGUAUUGUUUUUUUUUUUUUUAAGAUCUACUUAUUUAUUAGAAAGUCCGAGUUACACAGAGGGUUACUGUAUUCUCAAGAGUUCUGAGGGAACAGGAGGGGAUCUCUUCUGCAGUAGAUAGCCUCUCCGAUUACCCUCUUCCUGUCCUUCCACGCGGGGGAGUCUUAGGGCCUUCGGACGUCCCAAGACCGAAUCUCCUUGCGGUAGUUUAAAUAAGGCAAAGCGGCAAGAGAAAUUAGGAGUUUAUUUCUACAGUCCGUACCUAUCCGGAAUAAAAUGGAGGACUUCGUCAAGAAACUUCAACUCCCAAGAAGCGAUGCGAGGGACAGCGGAAGCUGCUGCCCUUUCCCAUCCGCACCGCUCGGAGCUCCGUAGGAAGCAGGUGCUCGUGCAGCAGCGACGAGGUCUUCGUAGUCAAGCGAGAGCGGCGUGGGCUGGGAACGCGACAUCAAAACGGGCUUCCCAGGAAAAUUCAGCCCCGCCACUUCGCUGGCGUCCGAGGCCCAAAGCCAUUGUUACUCUUCCUGAGCGGCCCGCGCCGGGGGCGGGGCGACGGAAGUGACGACACGCAGCGCGCCGUUAAAUAGCCGCGGGCGGAACUCGCUCGCUCUCUCGGCUUUAGCGCCAUCUUCCUGGGUGAGUGUUGGCGCUGCUGGUGUUCGGGCCGCACGGACAAUCCGUUGACAUCUGACCUGUGCACUGGCCAUCAUCACAGCGGACUAACUGCAGUCUUUUUCUCUUUCCCCGUAGAGACCUCCGCGCCAUGAGAGCCAAGGUGAGCGGCCCCCAGAGUUGAGCUCGGGAGUGGAGGAAGAAGCGAAUGCGCAGGCUGAAGCGCAAAAGAAGAAAGAUGAGACAGAGGUCCAAGUAGAUCGCUGGCUGUGUGCGCGUGACGGCCGAGGGCAGGAGCAGGAAUGCCCGUCCCGGGACGCCGGUGCAGCUGUUGGACUGCGAGCCGCUGCGUCCGGCUCGGCCGAGACUCGGAUCGCUGCGAACACCUGGGAGACCGCUCCGCCGACACCGAAACGGCCCCGGAGGCCGCCCUGGGCCGGGGCUUUCUGGACUAAUCCUGUUCUGUUGUGGCCGACUGUAACGCGCGUACAAUAAAAAGCCUCUGCUGUCCUA